rnacentral:pre_miRNA from 1 species
AUAUUCUGUUAAUGAAGAGAGCUAUCCGUCGACAGUAUUGCUGAUAAACACUGUCAUGGAGUUGCUCUCUUUAUGAACGGAUGC